rnacentral:rRNA from 1 species
UCCNGGCCGUAAACGAUGGGUACUAGGUGUAGGAGGUAUCGACCCNUUCUGUGCCGGAGUUAACGCAAUAAGUACCCCGCCUGGGGAGUACGACCGCAAGGUNGAAACUCAAAGGAAUUGACGGGGGCCCGCACAAGCGGUGGAGUAUGUGGUUUAAUUCGACGCAACGCGAAGAACCUUACCAGGUCUUGACAUUGAUGGACAGAACUAGAGAUAGUUCCUCUUCUUCGGAAGCCAGAAAACAGGUGGUGCACGGUUGUCGUCAGCUCGUGUCGUGAGAUGUUGGGUUAAGUCCCGCAACGAGCGCAACCCCUAUCUUAUGUUGCCAGCACGUAAAGGUGGGAACUCAUGAGAGACUGCCGCAGACAAUGCGGAGGAAGGCGGGGAUGACGUCAAAUCAUCAUGCCCCUUAUGACCUGGGCUACACACGUACUACAAUGGGAGUUAAUAGACGGAAGCGAGAUCGCGAGAUGGAGCAAACCCGAGAAACACUCUCUCAGUUCGGAUCGUAGGCUGCAACUCG